GGAGUAGCAAUACUCCCGCCGGCGACCGGCGCACGGGUGAGUAACACGUAUGAAACCUGCCCGUAGCAGGGGGAUAAGCGGAAGAAAUUCCGUCUAAUACCGCGUAACAACCCAUGGAGGCAUCUCCGUGGGUUUAAAGGAAGCGAUUCCGGCUACGGAUGGUCAUGCGUCGCAUUAGCUUGUUGGCGGGGUAACGGCCCACCAAGGCGACGAUGCGUAGGGGUUCUGAGAGGAAGGUCCCCCACACUGGUACUGAGACACGGACCAGACUCCUACGGGAGGCAGCAGUGAGGAAUAUUGGUCAAUGGCCGCAGGGCUGAACCAGCCAAGUCGCGUGAGGGAUGACGGUCCUAUGGAUUGUAAACCUCUUUUGUCAGGGAGCAAAGGGCGCCACGUGUGGCGUUUUGCGAGUACCUGAAGAAAAAGCAUCGGCUAACUCCGUGCCAGCAGCCGCGGUAAUACGGAGGAUGCGAGCGUUAUCCGGAUUUAUUGGGUUUAAAGGGUGCGCAGGCGGAAUGUCAAGUCAGCGGUAAAAUUUCGGGGCUCAACCCCGUCGUGCCGUUGAAACUGGCGUUCUUGAGUGAGCGAGAAGUAUGCGGAAUGCGUGGUGUAGCGGUGAAAUGCAUAGAUAUCACGCAGAACUCCGAUUGCGAAGGCAGCAUGCCGGCGCUCAACUGACGCUCAUGCACGAAAGCGUGGGUAUCGAACAGGAUUAGAUACCCUGGUAGUCCACGCAGUAAACGAUGAAUACUAACUGUCCGGGCAGAAUGAUGCCUGGGUGGUACAGCGAAAGC
rnacentral:rRNA from 1 species